rnacentral:tRNA from 1 species
AAGAGACGUAUUGAACACCAAGAACUGCUAAUUCUUACUACUGGAGUUAAAAUCUACCAGGCCUCUUA